GGGGCCUACGCCGGACCUGGCAAGGGGUGUUGACGGCGCCAGCGAUGAGAGAAGCAUGAAGGGGAGGCACUGCUGGGUGACAACGCAGUCAAAGGCGCCCGGUCGGCGCGGCCAUCGGCGUAGUCCGAGGGCAGCCCGCCUCUGUCAGCGGAUCAGGGCGGCCAGUGUUGGGGAAGGGAGCAAGGCCACCUGGAGCGACUGCAUGCUGGCCAGCGGCGGCGGCAGCGCGCCGAACAGCGACCGGUUGGCGCGGACGCUGAGCUGCUGCAAGCGCGAGGACAAGAGGUUGGACGCUGGAGGC
rnacentral:misc_RNA from 1 species